rnacentral:misc_RNA from 1 species
UCUCCGUUGGUGAACCAGCGGAGGGAUCAUUAUCGAGUUUAUCCAACUCCCAACCCUAUGUGAACCUACCUUUGUGUUGCUUCGGCGGUCUCGCGCCGGGUUGCUCCCUUCGGGGCUCCCGGGACCACGCGUCCGCCGGAGACCAAAAACUCUUGAUUUUGCGAAAGCAGUAUUAUUCUGAGUGGCCGAAAGGCAAAAAACAAAUGAAUCAAAACUUUCAACAACGGAUCUCUUGGUUCUG